rnacentral:rRNA from 1 species
GUAGGUGGUAAGCGUUGUCCGGAAUUAUUGGGGCGUAAAGCGCGCGCAGGCGGUCCUUUAAGUCUGAUGUGAAAGCCCACGGGCUCAACCGUGGAGGGUCAUUGGAAACUGGGGGACUUGAGUGCAGAAGAGAAGAGUGGAAUUCCACGUGUAGCGGUGAAAUGCGUAGAGAUGUGGAGGAACACCAGUGGCGAAGGCGACUCUUUGGUCUGUAACUGACGCUGAGGCGCGAAAGCGUGGGGAGCAAACAGGAUUAGAUACCCUGGUAGUCCACGCCGUAAACGAUGAGUGCUAAGUGUUAGAGGGUUUCCGCCCUUUAGUGCUGCAGCAAACGCAUUAAGCACUCCGCCUGGGGAGUACGGCCGCAAAGGCUG